GUAGUUUUUAAUAAUCACUUUCAAGAACUAGAACUUUACAUUACAUUUUAAAAUGAACUGCAUAGGUAAAAUACCUUAAACACGAACAGAAACAUAUAUACAGUAUUUUAAAAAACAGAAAUAGCCUGAAAUGUGUAUCAAUAUACAAAAACCCAUGCCAAUGUAAAAUAUUUGAGACUAGUAGCUGAUUUUUAGCAGGUUCAAUAUUCUACUUUUUAUCUUAUCACUCCUAUAUCCACCAUGUUUUCUUUUCAGAAAGAGAUCCCUGAAUCUAACCUCCUUUUUUAGUUUCCUCCCUGACCAUCACCUAAAGCAACUUGCAACCAACCCUCUAAACAAUAACAAACAUUCAUAACCCACUGAAUGACCAAAAGCCACCCAUCCCACCUCUUGGGAAUGUGGGCAUCAUGUUCUCAAAUUACUUCCUGUUUCCGGGGACAACCACAUCUUUAGAAAAUUGGGAUAACGGUCAAGUCGCGGGAGAGCCAGUUGCAUCAUCUGUUGUCCAGUCUGUGUGAUGGGAAAGUACAGGGCUGAUCUGAAGUCCUAGCUGGAGCAGUCUGUGAGGCUGGAUCUUCUCUGCUAGCAGCUUUGAAGUUGUUCUGGAUGCAGAAUUUUGAGGAAACUGCAACAGAGGCAUCUGAGAGUCUGGAUCACCUGGGCAACUUGUCUUCUUCAUUGGUGUGUGGUCCUUUCAUUGUGAAAACACACAAACUUCAAGCACUAGAACAGUGAACCAGAGCCAACUGUGGAAGAGCAGCACACAGAAAGAAGCAGAGAUGGAUGCAGACCUGAAGGCAGACUGUGGACAGGGUGCAGGCGUGGUGUCUGGACUGGGACAUAGAGGAGUACCGUCUGGGUACCUGGUGGGGGAACACGACCCUCAGUUUGUGGCGGCGGCUGGUGAUGUCUUCUUCAUGUGAGAUAAUACAGACUUAGCCUGAGAGUCUUGCAGAUCGACCCUCACACCAGACCAGAAGACAUCUACAGACAUUCUGGAAUCGGAAUGGGAUGGCCCUGGGAGCAGAAGUGGCAACCUGCCCUUUCUAUGUAGGUGGGAGCACCACCUGCUCCCAAGUCAGCACGUGCAGGCUUGGCUCACGGGUGUAGCCAGGUGGGCAGCAGUCAGUAACCUGUCGUGACUUCAUCUCCCCCGAGUCCCAUUCCAUCCUGUGAGUCCUGCGAUAGAGUCCGGUCACUAUGGCAGGACAUCUGCAGAAAGUGACUUAGAGGAGGAGGCAGGUAUUUUAGCUCACAGGGUCAGAGGACUCAUAUUGUGGUCACUUGGUUCCAUGACUCUGAUCCUGAGAGCAAGUGGGGUAUCAUGAUGGAGACAGUAUGGAGGUUGAGUCUGCUUCCCUGUGCACAUCAAUGGAUUCAUUUACCGAUGAGGUCAAAGCCCUUACGACAAUCAUUUCCCAAUAGUCACCAGCCAUGAGCUCUUAACACACUCUCUUUGGGGCCAGUUAAGCUUCAUCUGCCUGAAGCUGUUCCUGGAGACUCCUUUUAAGGCUCUCUUCAAGAAAAAGCCCCACCCUGUGCAGGUUUUCCUUGGCUGCCCUACCUGACUAUGUUGCUAUGGCUUCUUUCUCACUGAGGUGGCAGAACACCUGACCAAAGCACUGGGAGGGAGGGAGGGAGGAAUGGAGGGAGGGAGGGAGGGAGGAAGGGAGGGAAAGAGGGAGGGUGUUCAGGACUCACAAUUUGUAAGUGUAGUCCAUCAAAGAUGAGGAAGACAGAGGCAGGAGCGUGGGUAGCUGGUCACAUGGUCCUAGUUAGAUUUUGUGAUAAACGUCACGAGGCCAAGUGACUUGGGGAGGAAAGGUUUUAUCGGCUUCCAUGUCCUGGGCCACUGUCCAUCCCUGAAGGAGGUCAGAGCAGGAACUGAAGCAAAUGCCAAGGAGAAAUGCUGCAUACUGCCUAGCUCCCAGGGCUUGGUCAGCCGGUUUUGCAUACAAUCCAGGGGUGGUACCACCCCAGUCACACCAGUCAUUAAUGGAAAAACAAAUGCCUCAGAGACUUGCCUGCAGACGAGUGUUAUGGGGGUAUU